GUAACUGCGAGUGAAGCGGGAAAAGCUCAAAUUUAAAAUCUGGUAGUCUCUGGCUGCCCGAGUUGUAAUCUGGAGAAGUGUUUUCUGUGCUGGGCCGUGUACAAGUCUCUUGGAAUAGAGCGUCAUAGAGGGUGAGAAUCCCGUCUUUGACACGGACAUCCAGUGCUCUGUGAUGCACUCUCAAAGAGUCGAGUUGUUUGGGAAUGCAGCUCAAAAUGGGUGGUAAAUUCCAUCUAAAGCUAAAUAUUGGCAAGAGACCGAUAGCGAACAAGUACCGUGAGGGAAAGAUGAAAAGAACUUUGGAAAGAGAGUUAAACAGUACGUGAAAUUGUUGAAAGGGAAACGCUUGAAGUCAGUCGCGUCUAGCAAGGAUCAGCCUUUCUCGGAAGGUGUAUUUCUUGCUUGACGGGUCAACAUCAAUUUUGAUUACUGGAAAAAGGCCAGAGGAAGGUGGCACCUUCGGGUGUGUUAUAGCCUUUGGUCAUAUACAGUAGUUGGGAUUGAGGAAUUCAGCAUGCCUUCAUGGCUGGGGUUCGCCCACAUUCAUGCUUAGGAUGUUGGCAUAAUGGCUUUAAGCGACCCGUCUUGAAACACGGACCAAGGAGUCUAACAUACCUGCGAGUGUUUGGGUGUAAAAACCCGAGCGCGUAAUGAAAGUGAAAGUUGAGACCCUUUUAAGGGGCAUCGACGCCCGGACCAGACCUUCUGUGACGGAUCUGCGGUAGAGCAUGUAUGUUGGGACCCGAAAGAUGGUGAACUAUGCCUGAAUAGGGUGAAGCCAGAGGAAACUCUGGUGGAGGCUCGUAGCGAUUCUGACGUGCAAAUCGAUCGUCGAAUUUGGGU
rnacentral:rRNA from 1 species